UCAUCUGUGUGUCCCUGCCUCUUCCUGUGACCUCCUCUUUGUUUUUCAUGGGUUUCCUCCCAGGACAUCUCUUUCUGUUACAUUCUGUUCCAUUUUGCCACUUGCUUUUCCAAGGAGGAAAACUUACUUAUGCACAAUGACAGUGGUUACCAUGGCAGUCAAGAAUCCUGCUCAGGCGGAGUGAUUGACCACAGAGGAGGCACAAAUGCUUGACUGAGUCCUGGCUGGUACCUGGAAUACAGAGCAGUCAAGUCUGGCCUCAGAGCACAAACAAUUCCCAUCAGUUGAAGAAAAGCCUAAUUAGUCAUCAAUUCAACCAAUCAUAGGAAACAUGGAUGCUUCGGAGGCUGCUCAGGAGUCUGCCGCGCCCACUCAGUCCCGACCCCACGACGACAUCCUGCUCAAGCAUUCUCCAUGUGAACGAGAAGAGGGGUGGCCUUACAAUCCGGAACAAUCCGAAGCCUGAAGAGGCCUAGAAACUCCAGUGCCAAGGACCGAGUCUGCAGCUCGCAUGCAAAUAAAGUCUGUAGACCACUAGAAAGGCUUUCUGCCUCUCUGGCCGCUGCAGGAAAUCCAGUGUGAGCGCAGUAAGCAUUGCUAUCUGCCCCUUCAGUGCCACAUGGUGUCCUCAAACAUUUAAGGAUGUUUCCCCUGCAAGAGAAUUCCCUAUUAAGUGCUCAGAAAAGCCAGCUGAGCCGUGCAACCAUUAGUCACCCAGGUAUUUGUGCUGGUUUUCCUAUUUCCUUUCGGUCUUGGCCACCCUGGUCAGUGGUAUGAAAUUCCUGGGAACUCCCACCUAAAUAUCAGCUUCCUGUUUAUAUGCUCAGCAGCUUUAACAGUAGACUGUGGAAAGUAGUUGACCCAAACUGAAGUGGAAGAGGAGGUGGGGGAGAGGAAAGAAGAAAGAGAAGUGAGCAGAUCAGGGGUCCAAGUUCGUUUUAAAUUGCUUAUGUCAAACAGAGGAAGAAGAAAGUAAAAUUAAAACGUAACCUAACACGUAGGAUCUUGGCUCAGUUUCACACGGCCGCCAUAUCUGCAGGCAUAAAACACACUGAGUGAAGUAUGAGCACUUUCAUUUGUAGUUCCUGCCUUAAAUGUGGCAUGACAUUCAGUUGUAAUCAAAGGUUAAAAACCACUCCACUAGCCCAACUUGCACACUCUUAUGUGUGUGUGCCUUGUACCUCUUCAUGGCUGUUUUCCUGCCAGCAAGCCAUUUCAUUUUGUAGUCACCUGAAAUACAGCCCGCCUGAGUGGCGGGGCAGGGAAGCACUCAGAGGCUACCCUUGCAGCCAUCUUCCGGCACAGAAUUUUAUCCAUUGUUUCCAGGGAAGGGACAGCUGUUCUUUGGAAGAAUCCUUAGAGAUAAGUCCUUCCCAACCCCCUCCCCUCACCCCACCUUGGAAAAUAGUAUUAUCGUAUGGCUGCCUUAUAUUCUGAUGCAAGCUAUUGUUUAUAAAAGUGGAAUCUCUCUCCACUCAUAAAGUGAUACAAAAUAAUCUAAUUUCUCUUCCACACGAUACUAUCCUUCAACUCUCAGGAGACAGUUGUUUUUCUCUGCAGCAUCCACCUCCCAGUCCUCCCAAGUCACCUAGAGAUGCUCCAGCUUGCCGAGUCCCCUUGACUCAGGGCAGUCACUCAGUUCAGCUCCCCCUCAGGGCGAAGGGAGCAUGCCUUAAAACCAAAGGAGAAAAGGGUCAGAUUACAGGUUAGUUACUCGGAGCUCAGUUUUGGUCUCCUCUGAGUCCAGAGGAACAGACACAGCCAUGAACCAUAGAGAAGGAGAGACUCUACUGCUGGCCUUUUCCUAUCCUCACAAACCUCUGCUGGAUCGGUGCAAUUAUUAUUCCCUUUUAGAAUCUCCGAGGUCAAUUAACCCAUGCAGGGCACACAGCCACAGGCAGCAGAGUGGGCCCUAAUGGACUUCAGGUCUCUAUGUAAUGAAAGCUCCCGCCAUGGACCUCAGUGGUCAAAUUCGAGGUCCUGAAUUUCCUUUUCAGCACAUUCUACAACGAAUAGCUUUUAUUUAAAGCCAGAUUGUGUAUAUAUCAUGUUUAUGGAGCUACAAGGACUUUUGAAAUAUGAGUUAAGAACUUUAGGGAGGAAAAAAAAAGUCCAUUUUUGGAAGCAAAUGAAAGAGAAAUUCCCAGCAUAAGCCAGAAAGUCAAUCCUGAACAUGCUUUUCCUCCAACGCCAUUACUUAGCAGCGAAGUGUUCGAUUACCCCUGAAUUUCCUGCCUGGGCUGAGGGGAAGCCAGGCCCUUGCUGCUAUUUCAGGUCUUCCAGGUAUGUAACUCUACCACAGCACUGCCCCCGCCCUGCCUGACUCCUCCCUGCUGUGCAGUUAGUUAGGGGGGAGAAGGAUACGCUUCCCAUGCAUAGAUUACAAUGCUUUCCCAGUGCUCAUCAGCCUGCCAGAACAAAAAUAAAACUGGCAAGAAGAUUCCUGCCAGCCUCUGCUCACACUGCUGCUCUUACAGUCUGGGAGAGCUGGACAUCAAACACUCCCAGCUGACAUCUGCACACUCCUUCUCAGAGUAAAGGAACAUUGCCAUGUGGUCCCUGCUAAAGUAUUUUCUACCCCCAAAAGUUUAGGGAGUCUUUUUCUUCAGGAAAACGUGCCACAAAAGGUGCAGAGAAUUGAUGGAGCUGGUUCUUAGAAGAACCUUUGCUUUGCCACGAACCGUGGUACACUGUUGUAUGUCCUGGUGGGCUCUGCCCUAGUAAGGGCAUUUAGCUGUUGAGUUUUGUUCUAAGUUGCAAACAGUGCCUUGGAGAACUUUAACUACUCGAUCUAAAGAGAGCCCUGGAGUCACUCUCACACAGAUCCACAUCUUUUCUGGAGAAGUGUUAUCCUAGGUAAAGCUCCCACCACAUAUAUGCAAGGACCUUGGUUCCAACCUCCAGAAUUCACAAGAAGUCAGAUGCAAUAGUGAACAUCUAUAAAGCCACAGACCCUGCAGUGGCAUGGGGGGUAGAGAUGGGGUUUUUGCAACACUUGGAGCCAGCUAAGCUCUCAUUCUCAGCAGCGAACAACAGGAGAGGCUCCAUUUUAAACAAUGUAGAAGAUAAAAAGACUAACACAGGUGUCUGCUGAUCUCCACAUGCAAGCUGUGGCACACAGUCACCUGCAAACACACCACUACACACACAUGCACACACACACAGAAACAUACCACAUACAAACUCCA